CGCGAAUGGCUCAUUAAAUCAGUUAUGGUUCAUUAGACGAGUUAAAUCCCACUUGGAUAACUGUGGUAAUUCUAGAGCUAAUACAUGACUCCAAGCUCUGACCGUUCAGGAAAGAGCGCUUUUAUUAGACCAAGACCAAUCGGACUUGUCCGUUUCCUUUGGUGACUCUGAAUAACCUUUUGAAGAUCGCACGGUCUCGAACUGGCGACGCGUCUUUCAAAUGUCUGCCUUAUCAACUGUCGAUGGUAGGUUAUGUGCCUACCAUGGUUGUAACGGGUAACGGAGAAUCAGGGUUCGACUCCGGAGAGGGAGCCUGAGAAACGGCUGCCACAUCCAAGGAAGGCAGCAGGCACGCAAAUUACCCACUCCCGGCACGGGGAGGUAGUGACGAAAAAUAACGAUGCGGGACUCUUCCGAGGCCCCGUAAUCGGAAUGAGUACACUUUAAAUCCUUUAACGAGGAUCAAUUGGAGGGCAAGUCUGGUGCCAGCAGCCGCGGUAAUUCCAGCUCCAAUAGCGUAUACUAAAGUUGUUGCGGCUAAAAAGCUCGUAGUUGGAUUUCAGUCGUAGGCCGGUGGUCCACCGCCCGGUGGCUACUGCCUGGCCUAGGCACCUUGCCGGCUCUCCUGCGAUGCUCUUGAUUGGGUGUCGUGGGUGGCCGGAACGUUUACUUUGAAAAAAUUAGAGUGCUCCAAGCAGGCGUUACGGCCUGAAUAACACAGCAUGGAAUAAUGGAACAGGACCUUGGUUCUGUUUUGUUGGUCUUCGGAAGCUAAGGUAAUGAUUAAUAGGGACGGACGGGGGCAUUCGUAUUGCGACGCUAGAGGUGAAAUUCUUGGACCGUCGCAAGACGAACUACUGCGAAAGCAUUUGCCAAGAACGCUUUCAUUAAUCAAGAACGAAAGUCAGAGGUUCGAAGGCGAUCAGAUACCGCCCUAGUUCUGACCAUAAACGAUGCCAACCAGCGAUCCGCCGGAGUUACUCCCAUGACUCGGCGGGCAGCUUCCGGGAAACCAAAGUGUUUGGGUUCCGGGGGAAGUAUGGUUGCAAAGCUGAAACUUAAAGGAAUUGACGGAAGGGCACCACCAGGAGUGGAGCCUGCGGCUUAAUUUGACUCAACACGGGACACCUCACCCGGCCCGGACACCGGAAGGAUUGACAGACUGAGAGCUCUUUCUUGAU
rnacentral:rRNA from 1 species